rnacentral:lncRNA from 1 species
GGUUGCUUCAUCCAAAGCUCCCCUGGGUCCUAUCUGCCAUAUCUCCAUGUGGUCAGGGUCUACCACAGGGGCCUCACUGCCCGCUCUGUCUUCUCUGAGUGUAGCUGUGAUCUCCUGUGACAUUCCUGUCCUCAUCAAGUGCUGAGAACCCGUGGCCUGUGCAGGUAGGUGCUGUGCCAGGGUUCAUGACUUCAUUCUACCCUCCUAACUUGGAGUUGCCUGGUGUUAUCUCCACUUUGCCUCUGAGGACACCAUCUUCAGAAGGGCCUGAGGGACAAUGCUGAGUCUAAAGCUGCGGCAAUAAAGGGAGGGGAUGGCUCUGCCCCGGAGCUUGAGCACCACAGGGCCUCAACCGGCAGUGGUCAUGCUGUUAUUGGAAACUUAAAUGAAACAAAAAACACAACUCUGGUGGGAAAAGGGAAGGAGUGGAGGAAGGCCACCAAAAAACUUUCGAGUGGCACAAGUGGCCUUUUCUCUUUGCUGUUUCCAUUCCUGGGUGUUUCCACUGUCCAGGAGCCAGAGACUCACCACAAAGAAAACUGUUGCCAAAAUGUUGCAGGGUUGUGCUGUUUGGGGAGGGAACUUUUCCCAGGUCACUAUUGUUUGCUGUUUUUUUUUUUUUUUUUUACCAGGGUCCCGCAUCUCCUAGGGUGCUGAAGCCAACCACAGAGUUGAACUUCGCUCUAAUUUCAAAAUGUCAACAAGCCUGUGCUACUGGGAAGUGCCCGGGAACAGACCUGCCACCAGCCCCAGGGGAGCCCCAGGUACAGGAAUGAGGGACUAACAAAGGAUCCUGGGAAACCUCUGUGGGCUUGAAAGCAAUUUUAUUAGGUCUAUCCAGGAGCCCAGCAGAUUGCACAAUCGUGCUAUCUUACAAACAAGAGAAGAAGAAAGGAGAGAGGGUUGCUGAGGGGAGAAGGGUGUGGGCAUCAAAUGGGCUUUUAUAUGUGAUCUUGUUUAAACAAGACUCUUAUCAAGGAGUAAUACUAAACUUUGCUCUUUUCUUAUUGCCUCAGCUCCGUGGGGAAUUGGUAUGUGACUUUUGGAUUCCAUGAGGGAGGAUUAAAUUGCCUCCUUCGAGAUAAGAGCCCCAAAUAAGCUGAUAGCAUUGAUAGAAAUGAGGGAGGAUUCCCUUGUGUCCUGACGGACUUUGAUUCUGCUAUCUAGACUCUUGUCUUCUGUGCACAAACUGUACAUCAAGACAGAAGAAAGCUGGUCUUGUGGAAGAGCAGCAUAGAUGGGGUGCCUCCCCUGAGCUGAGCUGUGUGCAGGAGGGGUGGGAUUCCCAGGAAUGAGCCACACCUGGGCCUGCAGGAAUGGUCCAGGUCCUCAGUGGUAAGGCUCAGGACGUUGAUUUUUAAAUGACUAGUAAAUCACCUAACACUCUGUUUAGAGCUCUGGGAAAACUCCCAAGUAAUUGUCAAACAAUUAAGUGUGUAUUUAUGUCCAAGAAGUUCACAGUACCGUGUUAGAAAAUGAAGGGCAAGUCAGGGGUAGGAAGUGGAUACGGGAGAGGCUUGAAGCCCCAGGGCUUAGCUAAGCGACUUGGGCUAGUUUGCUCUCUUGUUCUUUGUUUUCUCACCUAUAAAAUGGAAUCAUUUUCAGGGUGAUCCUGAAGGUACUUGGAACAGAGUAAGACUUUGACCUCUGCCUUUCAGGUGCUUUCAACCUAAAGGGGAAAGCAAAUAAGGUAUGUUUGAAACUAACACCAUCUGACCUGGUUAUUCUGAGAACUGUGAUGUAGAAGUCAGAGGAAGACAAAAACCCUUACUCAGGACUUAGGGUGAUGGGGGAGUGGGAUGUAACUCAGUGAAAGCACAUGCCUAGCAUGUGUGAGGUUCUGGGUUCAAUCCCCAACACUGUAAUUAAAAAUAAUAAUAAUAAAUAAAUAAAUAAAUAAUUUUUUUCAGGUAGGAGGUGAAGAAUUGGGGCCUCAGAAUUGGGUAGGAAUUUAGUAAGUAAGAACAUUCCAGCUGGAAAUAAAUAGCAUGUACAAGGAUAUGAAGGCAGGAAAACGCAAGGCAUACCUGUGGGUUCCAGGUUUCUUCAGUUUGGCUCCAGCUAAGGUCCUUCGCGGGGAACUGUGGGAAAUGAAGUUUGAUACUAGGUGGCUGACUUUUGAGUACCAGCAUUCUUGUAUAUGCAGUAUACAUAUACAGUGGAAGGGUUUUGAAGUGGGGUUUACUUCUCUUGUCUCUCCUAGGGUCAUCUGUGCUUGAAUAUUGAGAAGCCACAACCAUCAGCGGAUCCACAGAGACUCCAUCAGCUUUGGCUUCUUGGGAACUGGUAUUCUGGGGGCAGGGUCUGACCAGCAUGCAACAUAAUCCUUUCUCCAUUUUUUCCACAUUUGGGGCAUUUAAGACCAGCUGUGAAAUGCCCUGAGAAUGGGGAUGUGUUUGGAGAGGCUGCUGUGGGACACCAAAUGGAGCUAAAACUGGUCUGGAACUGCACUGUCCAAUAUGGUAGCCACUAACACUUUUGGUUAUGAAGCACUUGGUCUGUGGCCGCUCCAAGCUGAGAAAUGCUGUGAGGGUAAAAUACACACCACAUUUCAAAGACUUAUCACUUAAAAAAAGAAUAUACAUCGUCUCAUUAAUAUUUUAAAUAUUGAUUAUAUGCUG